rnacentral:tRNA from 1 species
GGUUCUAAUCCUUUUCUUUUUA